rnacentral:rRNA from 1 species
CCAAUAGCGUAUAUUAAAGUUGUUGCAGUUAAAAAGCUCGUAGUUGAAUUUCGGGGUCAGUAGAUUGGUCGUGCCACUGGUACGUACUGGUCUUACUGAUUCCUCCCUCCUGAUGAACUGUAAUGCCAUUAAUUUGGUGUUGCAGGGAAUCUGGACUGUUACUUUGAAAAAAUUAGAGUGUUUAAAGCAGGCUAACGCUUGAAUACAUUAGCAUGGAAUAAUGAAAUAGGACGCUCGAUCCUAUUUUGUUGGUUUCUAGGAUUGACGUAAUGAUUAAUAGGGAUAGUUGGGGGCAUUAGUAUUCAAUUGUCAGAGGUGAAAUUCUUGGAUUUAUUGAAGACUAACUACUGCGAAAGCAUUUGCCAAGGAUGUUUUCAUUAAUCAAGAACGAAAGUUAGGGGAUCGAAGACGAUCAGAUACCGUCGUAGUCUUAACCAUAAACUAUGCCGACUAGGGAUCGGAUGAUGUUGAUUUUUUAAUGACUCAUUCGGCACCUUACG